UUUGGGAGAAGCAGUUUUAACCUUAAUUCCAACUAAACAAACUAAAGCAUAGGAAAGGGCAUGAAGAGACAAAAAGCUAUUCAUGUGUAGGGGUCAUCUUGGGCAAAUACUUUUGUAGAUCUGAAUAAAGCUUCACAGACUUGUAGACUUUAAGAAAGAAACCAAUGGUACAUGAGACAGAUACUUGGCUUUAUUAAACUAGAACAAUAUACUUCCAGGUGAAUAUAAAUCAGAAGUACAAACAUCAAAUACUUGAACUACCCAUUUCUCUCCUGACUUUGGUAAAAAUGUAUGUAUAUAUAUAUGGUGUAACAAAUGAAUUUGACAUGCUUCUUCCAAAAUAUAUGCCAUUCUUUUUUUUUGAUAGCCAGGACAAAUAAGACCCAUUGAGGAAAAUGAGAGAUGAAAUCAUGGGAAUCCAGCACAAAGCCAAAGCAAUAAUGGGUAGAGAUAUUUUUUCUGAGGAGGAAAUUCCAUACACUGGAUUUUGUGUAACAGAAGAUAUUCUUCUUGAGCUAAGGGAGUUGGAGAAGAGGUUACACAUAAAUACGUAUAAAACAUAUAGAUAUAGAAACAAAGAAUUAAUAGUUGUGAUUGUCAGGCAAAUAUUUUUGUGGUUGAAAUAUAAAGAAGCAAACAAUGCAUGAAAGGAAAAGAAAGAAAGAAGGACCAGCUAACCAAAGGCAGCCUUUUCUCCUCCUCUCUACCUAGUGGUCCUAUAUGAAAAAGCACUUGCUGCUCUAUGAUCACAUAAAUGCUAUGUGAUGAUCAUUUAGAUUACAUCCCAAUGCCACCAUAAGAUGUCUGUUGGUUGUUUAUGUGUAAGAAAGAGAGAGAUCUAGAGAGAGGAGUCAAAGGUGAAAAUGGAAAUACAUGCAUUGGCUCUAUAUUUUUAUUUUCUUUUGUUCGAAACACAAACCAAAAAACCAAGGAAAACUUGUAAGUGUGGAGAGGGAGAGAGAGGUGAUUCAUGAAGCUCAUGGGUUGAGCUAGUUUCUUUUAUCAUCAUUUUGUCGAUGCAUAUACCAAGAAAAAAUAAAAAAGGAAAAAAAGUGUAAGAACUUUAACUAUUGCUUUUAGGAGAAAUUGAUGAGAAAAACGUAAGGCUAAUAGUUGAGAUGAUUUUAGUGAUGUAUCUUUCUUCUAGCUAGGGUUUAUUAUAAACCAAUGCCCUAUCCUUUUCACUAACAACCGCAUCUCAAUUGUACAUUAGGCCCUAUCAUUCUCUCUAUAAGGACCUAAUGGUACCCGAUUCUCAUAUAAUAUCAUCUAUUGCAUUAUUUUCGCUACCCUUUUUGUUUGAAG
rnacentral:lncRNA from 1 species